rnacentral:lncRNA from 1 species
AUGGAACAUGGAAUUUUGGAGUUAUCCCCAAGUUUUUCUAUUUUAUUCUCAAUAUUUCCUAUUUUAUCCUCAAUUUUUUCUAUUGUAUCCUCAAUUUUUUCUAUUGUAUCCUCAAUUUUUUCUAUUUUAUCCUCAAUUUUUUCUAUUGUAUCCUCAAUAUUUUCUAUUGUAUCCUCAAUUUUUUCUAUUUUAUCCUCAUUUUUUUCUAUUUUAUCCUCAACAUUUUCUAUUUUAUCCUCAAUAUUUUCUAUUUUAUCCUCAUUUUGUUUUAUUUUAUCCUCAUUUUGUUUUAUUUUAUCCUUAUUUUGUUUUAUUUUAUCCUCAUUUUGUUUUAUUUUAUCCUCAAUAUUUUUUAUUUUUUCAUCUCUAAAUAUAGUAUUGAGGAGUACAAAAAUGACAGUACCUAUUAAUAUAAAAAUUUGGAGGUAUCCUUCAUUCCUCAAUGCCCCUACUUCUUCAGCUGCCAUAUAAUUGUCAAAGAAUGUAGUACUCAUUUUUAUAUGUAUAUUUUGUAAUUUCACAAAACACGUGGGGAGCAGGGCAAAGCAACAAACUUUCCACAGGGUUUUUUUUUUUUAAUCCAGGAAGUUGUUCCUUAAGGGAAAGGAUAUUUAGAAACAGUUCUUCCAGCCAGGACUUUAGAGUCCUGUUGCUGAGAUUUAAAAACAGCUGUUUUCUGUCUAUCAGAGUCACACAGCUGGGAAGUAUCUGAGGUCCGAUUUGAACCCAGGACCUUCUGCCUCUAGGGCUGGCUCUCAAUCCGCUGAGCUACCCAACUGUCCCUUAAGAUUAAAGGGAAGAAAAAGAAAAAACUGCUGAUUCCAAUUUAACUUAAGGAGAAAAGAGAAAAAGUUUUUUAUACUCACGUGUUCUAGCAGCUGUGUCUUUAAGCCAAGUUUUUUUUUUUUUUUAAAAAAGGACUAAGUGGUGAAACAGUAUAGUAAAAAGGCAAGGAAAAAGUUUUAUUGAGAGGAUUCUUUAGACUCCCGUGUGGUCAGCCACAAUGUUACAAGGGAAUCACUUUAAAAGACGGAUAUAUAUUAAUUUAAGGUCGCCAAGGAAUCAGCUAUGUAAUUCCUAAAUGAAAAACUCAAGUCAGCCGUCAGCCUUUUUUGGAGUUUAAUUACAAUAGGAGCAAGAAAGGAAUUAGAGAUAUAUAGAGAGAGAGAGAAAAGGGGAGAGAAGGGAAUAGGGCUUAAAUACCCCUUCUGUUUAGGCUGGGCCAAAAGGCCCAAGCCCUUAGAUAGCUGGGGCAAAGAAAAGAGAUCAGUCCCUAUUACUCACGUGUCCAAAAUGGAGAAACAGUCUCAGAGGCCCCCACCUUCAGCUUCCUCCAGAGCAAGCUUCCUCAGAGCCCAGGAACCACACCGACCAAACUCAAUCCCCCCCAGUCUCCAGACCCUCCUAUCUUUAAGGACACCAUCCAAGUUGCCUCCCCUCAGUCCUCACAUCUACCAAUCACUCUUCAUCA